GAUGAACGCUGGCGGCGUGCCUAAUACAUGCAAGUCGAGCGAACGGACGAGAAGCUUGCUUCUCUGAUGUUAGCGGCGGACGGGUGAGUAACACGUGGAUAACCUACCUAUAAGACUGGGAUAACUUCGGGAAACCGGAGCUAAUACCGGAUAAUAUUUUGAACCGCAUGGUUCAAAAGUGAAAGACGGUCUUGCUGUCACUUAUAGAUGGAUCCGCGCUGCAUUAGCUAGUUGGUAAGGUAACGGCUUACCAAGGCAACGAUGCAUAGCCGACCUGAGAGGGGGAUCGGCCACCCAGAACCUGAGACACGGUCCAGACUCCUACGGGAGGCAGCAGGAGGGAAUCUGCCGCAAUGGGCGAAAGCCUGACGGAGCAACGCCGCGUGAGUGAUGAAGGUCUGCGGAUCGUAAAACUCUGUUAUUAGGGAAGAACAUAUGUGUAAGUAACUGUGCACAUCUGGACGGUACCUAAGCAGAAAGCCACGGCUAACUACGU
rnacentral:rRNA from 1 species